rnacentral:rRNA from 1 species
UACGUAGGGUGCAGGCGUUAAUCGGAAUUACUGGGCGUAAAGCGUGCGCAGGCGGUUUGCUAAGACAGGUGUGAAAUCCCCGGGCUUAACCUGGGAACUGCGCUUGUAACUAGCAGGCUAGAGUGUGGCAGAGGGGGGUGGAAUUCCAGGUGUAGCAGUGAAAUGCGUAGAGAUGUGGAGGAACACCGAUGGCGAAGGCAGCCCCCUGGGUCAAAACUGACGCUCAUGCACGAAAGCGUGGGGAGCAAACAGG